CCCUUAGAUGUUCUGGGCUGCACGCGCGCUACACUGAUGCGCUCAACGAGUUUAUGACCUUGCCCGGAAGGGUUGGGUAAUCUUCUUAAAACGCAUCGUGAUGGGGAUAGAUUAUCGCAAUUAUUAAUCUUCGACGAGGAAUUCCUAGUAAGCGCGAGUCAUCAGCUCGUGCUGAUUACGUCCCUGCCCUUUGUACACACCGCCCGUCGCUCCUACCGAUUGAAUGGCUUAGUGAGCCUUUGGGAUUGGCAGCUUGUACCGGCAACGGUAGCAGGCAGCCGAAAACUUAGGCAAACUUGGUCAUUUAGAGGAAGUAAAAGUCGUAACA
rnacentral:rRNA from 1 species